UAGCGCGGUGGUCCCACCUGACCCCAUGCCGAACUCAGAAGUGAAACGCCGUAGCGCCGAUGGUAGUGUGGGGUCUCCCCAUGCGAGAGUAGGGAACUGCCAGAC
rnacentral:rRNA from 19 species